CGCCCCUGAUANGGGCGAGGUCUCUGGUUCAAGUCCAGGAUAGCCCA
rnacentral:tRNA from 2 species